rnacentral:lncRNA from 1 species
GUUCCCCAAGAGCGCAUCUAUUUCCACCACCGUUUGCGGCGUCAGCUGACUCAGCACCUUGAGAAUGGGCAGUAGAGAGGGCAGGUUUUGCUGGGUCACCGAGUUAAGGGCAUUAUGAAGGCCACAGUGGGACCCACUGAGACAGUCUCAGCUGUUUGACAGCUUGGCCCUGUCUCCCUGGACUUCCCUUUGCAAAUGACAAGUCUGCAAGAAGGGAAAGGCUACGUCAAGGAGGGGAGGCUUACCUGGAGCUAUGGAAAACUGGGAUGGCACGAGUCCUUACUGGCAGGUGUGGAGCAGCAACACCCUCCCACACUCCUAUCCCAUAGACCACAGAUCCUUUGUAAGGCUUCACCCCAAGUACUCACUGUCCGCCCCAAAAAAUUUUGGUGGUGAUAACAUAGCUUGAUCUCCUGGAAAAAAAGCAAAACGAUCUUUCCAGCAGGAAACUGAUAUUUGGUUGAUCGUGUCUCCAGCACCGCCCCCACCCCGAACAGUCUCACCUCCAGCCUUUGCUCUUGAGAAUAUUGCCAAGGGUUCUUUCAGCCCUGAAAUAAAGACAAUGCAAGGACA